UUUAUGGAGAGUUUGAUCCUGGCUCAGAGUGAACGCUGGCGGCGUGCCUAAUACAUGCAAGUCGAACGAUGAAGCUUCUAGCUUGCUAGAAUGCUGAUUAGUGGCGCACGGGUGAGUAACGCAUAGGUUAUGUGCCUCUUAGUUUGGGAUAGCCAUUGGAAACGAUGAUUAAUACCAGAUACUCCCUACGGGGGAAAGAUUUAUCGCUAAGAGAUCAGCCUAUGUCCUAUCAGCUUGUUGGUAAGGUAAUGGCUUACCAAGGCUAUGACGGGUAUCCGGCCUGAGAGGGUGAACGGACACACUGGAACUGAGACACGGUCCAGACUCCUACGGGAGGCAGCAGUAGGGAAUAUUGCUCAAUGGGGGAAACCCUGAAGCAGCAACGCCGCGUGGAGGAUGAAGGUUUUAGGAUUGUAAACUCCUUUUGUUAGAGAAGAUAAUGACGGUAUCUAACGAAUAAGCACCGGCUAACUCCGUGCCAGCAGCCGCGGUAAUACGGAGGGUGCAAGCGUUACUCGGAAUCACUGGGCGUAAAGAGCGCGUAGGCGGGAUAGUCAGUCAGGUGUGAAAUCCUAUGGCUUAACCAUAGAACUGCAUUUGAAACUACUAUUCUAGAGUGUGGGAGAGGUAGGUGGAAUUCUUGGUGUAGGGGUAAAAUCCGUAGAGAUCAAGAGGAAUACUCAUUGCGAAGGCGACCUGCUGGAACAUUACUGACGCUGAUUGCGCGAAAGCGUGGGGAGCAAACAGGAUUAGAUACCCUGGUAGUCCACGCCCUAAACGAUGGAUGCUAGUUGUUGGAGGGCUUAGUCUCUCCAGUAAUGCAGCUAACGCAUUAAGCAUCCCGCCUGGGGAGUACGGUCGCAAGAUUAAAACUCAAAGGAAUAGACGGGGACCCGCACAAGCGGUGGAGCAUGUGGUUUAAUUCGAAGAUACACGAAGAACCUUACCUAGGCUUGACAUUGAGAGAAUCCGCUAGAAAUAGUGGAGUGUCUGGCUUGCCAGACCUUGAAAACAGGUGCUGCACGGCUGUCGUCAGCUCGUGUCGUGAGAUGUUGGGUUAAGUCCCGCAACGAGCGCAACCCCCUUUCUUAGUUGCUAACAGGUCAUGCUGAGAACUCUAAGGAUACUGCCUCCGUAAGGAGGAGGAAGGUGGGGACGACGUCAAGUCAUCAUGGCCCUUACGCCUAGGGCUACACACGUGCUACAAUGGGGUGCACAAAGAGAAGCAAUACUGCGAAGUGGAGCCAAUCUUCAAAACACCUCUCAGUUCGGAUUGUAGGCUGCAACUCGCCUGCAUGAAGCUGGAAUCGCUAGUAAUCGCAAAUCAGCCAUGUUGCGGUGAAUACGUUCCCGGGUCUUGUACUCACCGCCCGUCACACCAUGGGAGUUGUGUUUGCCUUAAGUCAGGAUGCUAAAUUGGCUACUGCCCACGGCACACACAGCGACUGGGGUGAAGUCGUAACAAGGUAACCGUAGGUGAACCUGCGGUUGGAUCACCUCCUUUCUAGA
rnacentral:rRNA from 1 species